rnacentral:rRNA from 1 species
UACGAAGGGGGCUAGCGUUGCUCGGAAUCACUGGGCGUAAAGCGCACGUAGGCGGAUUGCUAAGUCAGGGGUGAAAUCCUGGAGCUCAACUCCAGAACUGCCUUUGAUACUGGCGACCUUGAGUCCGGGAGAGGUGAGUGGAACUGCGAGUGUAGAGGUGAAAUUCGUAGAUAUUCGGAAGAACACCAGUGGCGAAGGCGGCUCACUGGUCCGGUACUGACGCUGAGGUGCGAAAGCGUGGGGAGCAAACGGG